GGCUAGGUGAUGGAAUUGGCAGACAUGCAGGCCUUAGGAGCCUGUGCUGUAAAGCGUGCGGGUUCAAGUCCCGCCCUAGCCA
rnacentral:tRNA from 2 species